GAUAAAAACCGAAGAUGGAAAUCUGCCAGAUUUGAGCUAAACUGCUCAUUUCCAUGUGUAGUCCCUGGGCAGGUCACAUGACUCUAUCCAACAUACAAAGACACACAGACACACAAGAAAAGCCAGAGAAACAAAGACAAAUCCAAACAAUCCAUCAUACUGAGUUAAA